UAGUACUCAGACGACAUAAAAUUCAGAGUUUAGAAUCCCCUGGCAAGCACUUGCUAGCUGAAGCUAGCAGCUAAGCAGACGCCUAGACGGCUUGCCAAAGCAACAAAGCAUAAUACACAAAGGGUUGGGUACUGAAAAGCGUCGUCGAUAACCGCAGACGGGUUAUCGACGUGCCUCUAGUCCUGUAAUGAUCCUUCCGCAGGUUCACCUACGGAACGGUUUUUUACUCGAGGGUAGAAGGGUACUAGCAUAGGUUUUAACACGAAUGCAAUGACUUUUACGAUGCACAGUUUUUGACUUGAAAAUCCCACGUGAAAAUUUUGCGCAAAGCCCUCGAGCAUUUCAAAUAGUGAAAUUUGCCUCUCUAGGUUUCCCUAAGAGCCCGACUAUAUCUUAGACGGAGCAGGUCAAGCUCCGCCCAUAACCACCUAGUCUGUGAACGUUCCCCAUAGCUAUUCAAGCCUUAGGGGCUUCGCUGCGGAUUACCCAUUCCCUAACCGCCAAGGCGGCAGGUGGUCCUACAUUCUUUUACCCCCUAUGUAAUUACCAUAGGCCCCCCCGGCAUUUCCACCGAGGGUUGGUGUUGUAGGCUUUAGGGUGUCCCCGUCAAUUCGGUUAUGUAGCUAGCAUAGCUAACUUGCGUAAGGCCACCAUUGUUUCGAGUCGCGGCAACAACCCUUUUCGGGCCGCAAAGGCUUCUAUAAGUUUUACCUGUAGAAGAAUCAUUGAAGAAUGUGUUCCAGAACUUAUUCUACGGAAACCUUGUUACGACUUUUACUUCCUCUAAAUGACCAAG
rnacentral:rRNA from 1 species